rnacentral:miRNA from 1 species
AGUGUCGUCCAGCUCGUCGCU